ACGAACGCUGGCGGCGUGCCUAAUACAUGCAAGUAGCACGCUGAAGGAGGAGCUUGCUCUUCUGGAUGAGUUGCGAACGGGUGAGUAACGCGUAGGUAACCUGCCUGGUAGCGGGGGAUAACUAUUGGAAACGAUAGCUAAUACCGCAUAAGAGUAGAUGUUGCAUGACAUUUACUUAAAAGGUGCAAUUGCAUCACUACCAGAUGGACCUGCGUUGUAUUAGCUAGUUGGUGGGGUAACGGCUUACCAAGGCGACGAUACAUAGCCGACCUGAGAGGGUGAUCGGCCACACUGGGACUGAGACACGGCCCAGACUCCUACGGGAGGCAGCAGUAGGGAAUCUUCGGCAAUGGACGGAAGUCUGACCGAGCAACGCCGCGUGAGUGAAGAAGGUUGUCGGAUCGUAAAGCUCUGUUGUAAGAGAAGAACGAGUGUGAGAGUGGAAAGUUCACACUGUGACGGUAUCUUACCAGAAAGGGACGGCUAACUACGUG
rnacentral:rRNA from 1 species